GACGAACGCUGGCGGCGUGCCUAAUACAUGCAAGUUGAGCGCUGAAGGUUGGUACUUGUACCAACUGGAUGAGCAGCGAACGGGUGAGUAACGCGUGGGGAAUCUGCCUUUGAGCGGGGGACAACAUUUGGAAACGAAUGCUAAUACCGCAUAAAAACUUUAAACACAAGUUUUAAGUUUGAAAGAUGCAAUUGCAUCACUCAAAGAUGAUCCCGCGUUGUAUUAGCUAGUUGGUGAGGUAAAGACUCACCAAGGCGAUGAUACAUAGCCGACCUGAGAGGGCGAUCGGCCACAUUGGGACUGAGACACGGCCCAAACUCCUACGGGAGGCAGCAGUAGGGAAUCUUCGGCAAUGGACGAAAGUCUGACCGAGCAACGCCGCGUGAGUGAAGAAGGUUUUCGGAUCGUAAAACUCUGUUGGUAGAGAAGAACGUUGGUGAGAGUGGAAAGCUCAUCAAGUGACGGUAACUACCCAGAAAGGGACGGCUAACUACGU
rnacentral:rRNA from 1 species